CCUACGGGAGGCAGCAGUGGGGAAUAUUGGACAAUGGGCGCAAGCCUGAUCCAGCCAUGCCGCGUGAGUGAUGAAGGCCUUCGGGUUGUAAAGCUCUUUCCCCGACGAUGCGGUAGUGGGAGAAGAAGCCCCGGCUAACUUCGUGCCAGCAGCCGCGGUAAUACGAAGGGGGCAAGCGUUGUUCGGAAUGACUGGGCGUAAAGGGCGCGUAGGCGGUUUGUUGCGUCAGAUGUGAAAGCCCCGGGCUCAACCUGGGAACUGCAUUUGAUACGGGCAAGCUUGAAUCCAAGAGAGGGUGGUGGAAUUCCCAGUGUAGAGGUGAAAUUCGUAGAUAUUGGGAAGAACACCAGUGGCGAAGGCGGCCACCUGGCUUGGAUUGACGCUGAGGCGCGAAAGCGUGGGGAGCAAACAGGAUUAGAUACCCUUGUAGUC
rnacentral:rRNA from 1 species